AUGAAUCAGAGAAGAUCGUCAACUAGCAGAUUACCUUUUUGGUAACAUUUUGAAAGUGAAGGCCCCACUUUUGGCUUACAACAGUUUCAUAGAAGCAAUUUAUGUUUUGAAUGACUAUCGUGCUCAUUCUGGACAUAGCGAUUCGAAGGCAUCACGAGCUGAAAGUCGACCAUUCUCCAUCCGAGGCAAUGAUGAAAGGUCGAGUCCAGGAG